GUUUAAUUACACUGAUUUGGCAACCGGCAAAUGCAGCAUGUCAGGAGCAUGUGCUCAACUUACAACAGUUCAUUUAGUGACCAUUCAGAAUUACAACGGCACUGAAAAAAGUGACUUAUGACCGUUUUUCACACUUACAACUGUUGCAGCAUCCCCUUGGUCACAUGAUCAAAACUUAGCUGUUUGGCAACUGGUUCGUAUUUGCGACAAUUGUAGUUUCCUAGGGUCAUGUGACUCCCUUUUGCGACCUUCUGAUAAGCAAGGUCAGUGGGGAAGCCCAAUUCCCUUAACAACCAUGUUACUAAGAACUGCACUCAGCAACCGUGGCAAGAAAAGUCAUGAAAUGGGGCAAAACUCAUUUAAUCAAAUGUCUCACUUAGCAGCAGAAAUUUUAGGCUCAAUUGUGGUCGUAAGACGAGGACUACCUGUUUUUCUUCAUCUAACUUUCCCGAAAGCUAUUUUUAGACCACGUUCUGAAAUUCUGCAUCUCCAAAAAGUAAUCAUAAGCAUGUACAGGCACGUGCUAAAACAUCACCACUCUUGCCUUCCCCUUUUCAAGCAGCAAACUUUUUUUGAAAAAAAAAAAAAAUCCAAAGCAGAGGACAUUACCUUUCUUCAUUGAUAUUUACUUUAUGUUUGUUACCCAGGUAAAAUGUUCACAAACGUAUCUGCAAAGUGCAACAGCCAAUCACUGGGUGGGAUUUAUGAUUACCGCAUCAAUCUGAAGCUUUAUUUAAGGGAGAGAAAUUAGUCAACAACUAUCAGACGCAACCAGAAUCUCAGAGGCUUCCCUGGAUUUUAUUCUGAUCACAAGCUCCUGAAACUGAGAACAGGAUGAAGAGGCAGAUGAAAUGGCUUUGGCCUGCGGUGAUGCUUGCAAUCCUGAGCGAACUUCUCUGGACCGCUUCUGCACAAACCGCUGAAGCUCCCAAACCACAGCCUAUUGCAAACAAAACUCAAGCCUCAACUCCGUCACCGUCACACGGCAGCGUUCUUCUGCCUGCCCUCUCUCUCAUUUCGAUCACCUCAUCUUUAUGUGUUUUCUUUGUCUCUCAACCUAAGUUUUAAAAGGGCCUUAUUAUCGGUGGGAUUGCAAAUCAAAGGAAAAAUUAAUCUGUCUCAAUCUGACAAAAUUUUGGUAUCCUUCUGCUGUCCUUCUGAUGUCUGCGUGUCGCUUUGUUAGCAAAUCCACAACGAUGUGUGAUUUUAAAAUUUAAUUUUUAAAUUAAUUUCCCCAGUCUGAUGGUAAAUGGAGACAGUAGGCUAAAUUAUUGUUAUUAAUUGUUGAAAUGAAUUGAACAUCUUUUAAAUAUAAUUACGGAAAAUUGCUGUAUUAAGAAGGCUUUAUCUAGAGGAAAGCUGAUCGACCACAACCUGGGCUACAGAAUCAAAAGCCGCAUCGACAAAACUGACAAAACUUGUGUCAUGGAUGGACUAUUUUGAAAAAUAAUAGGAGGACUCAAUCAAGACUUUUAUGUAGCGUGUCUUACAUUAAAUGAAAUCUGAUAACAAAAA